CAGCAAGUUAGCUCAGUUGGGUAGAGUGCUGGUCUGUCACGCCAGAAGUCGCGGGUUCGAACCCCGUUUUCCCC
rnacentral:tRNA from 1 species